rnacentral:rRNA from 1 species
CAUGCCGUAAACGAUGAGUGCUAAGUGUUAGGGGGUUUCGACCCCCCCUGUGCCGCAGUAAACACAAUAAGUACUCCGCCUGGGAAGUACGAUCGCAAGAUUAAAACUCAAAGGAAUUGACGGGGACCCGCACAAGCAGCGGAGCAUGUGGUUUAAUUCGAAGCAACGCGAAGAACCUUACCUGGACUUGACAUCCCCUGAAUGACUCGUAAUGGAGGAAGCCCUACGGGGCAGGGAGACAGGUGG